rnacentral:rRNA from 1 species
UGGGGAAUAUUGCACAAUGGGCGCAAGCCUGAUGCAGCAACGCCGCGUGAGGGACGACGGCCUUCGGGUUGUAAACCUCUUUUAGUAGGGAAGAAGCGAAAGUGACGGUACCUGCAGAAAAAGCACCGGCUAACUACGUGCCAGCAGCCGCGGUAAUACGUAGGGUGCGAGCGUUGUCCGGAAUUAUUGGGCGUAAAGAGCUCGUAGGCGGUCUGUCGCGUCUGCUGUGAAAACCCGAGGCUCAACCUCGGGCCUGCAGUGGGUACGGGCAGACUAGAGUGCGGUGAGGGAGAAUGAUCUGNGUAGCGUGAUGCGCAGAUAUCAGGAGGAACACCGAUGGCGAAGGCAGUUCUCUGGGCCGUAACUGACGCUGAGGAGCGAAAGCGUGGGGAGCGAACAGGAUUAGAUACCCUGGUAGUCCACGCCGUAAACGUUGGGCGCUAGAUGUGGGGACCAUUCCACGGUUUCCGUGUCGCAGCUAACGCAUUAAGCGCCCGCCUGGGGAGUACGGCCGCAAGGCUAAAACUCAAAGGAAUUGACGGGGUCAUAGCU